GUCAGGACACAGCAUGGGCGUGAAGGCUCCCACUCAGCUCCUGGGCCUCCUACUGAUCUGGCUCCCAGGAGCCAGUUCUGAAAUCCAGAUGACCCAGUCCCCAUCCUCGCUGUCGGCAUCUCUGGGAGACAGAGUCACCAUCACUUGCCGGGCCAGUCAGAACACUUAACAGGUGGUUAGCCUGGUAUCAGCAGAAACCAGGGAAAGUUCCUAAGCCCCUGAUCUACGAAGCAUCCAAGUUGCAAACUGGGGUCCCGUCGCGGUUCAGCGGCAGUGGGUCUGGGACAGAUUUCACCCUCUCCAUCAGCAGUCUGGAGCCUGAAGAUGCUGGGACCUAUUACUGCCAACAGUAUAACAGCAACCCGCCCACAGUGUUACAGCUGCUGAUAGGUAGGAUCAAAUCCUCCCCUUCUGACCUCCAAAUUCCAGUGAGGCUGCCUCGUUGA